CUCUCCAUCGCCGUCGAGCACGGCCCGCCGGCGUCGCGCCUGGUUCAGCUCGGCGUCAGGUCCUGGCCCAAGUGGGGCUGCCCGACGGGGAAGUUCCCGGUGAAGUUCGACGCGAGGCAGACGUGCUACCUGGUGAAGGGCAAGGUGAGGGCGCACAUCAAGGGGUCGUCCGAGUGCGUGGAGUUCGGCGCCGGCGACCUCGUCGUCUUCCCCAAGGGGCUCAGCUGCACCUGGGACGUGGUCGCCGCCGUCGACAAGUACUACAAGUUCGAUUCGUCUUGACUUUGCCGGGUUCGCGGUGACUAAUUCGCCUCCUGAUUUAGAUUGGUGUCUGUGUUAGCCUCAUUCUCUAGCUAAUUUGCUAGACCAUAUCCGUCUCUAUUGGCUUCGUUGUGUGUAGUAGGGAAAAAAAAUCGGCGUGAGUGAGGUGAGGGGCAUCUAGCCCUCCUGUGUAGGUUCCUAGGGAAAAAAAUCGGCGUGAAUGAGUGAGGUAAGUUGCCCCCCAAAACCGGCCAAUGCAGUGGCCGUUCAAAGUAUUCUUAUUUAUUGCCCUGAGUGCAGUGCAAAUCCGUUUUGAAUGCCUUCUUUGACCAGCCACCAUCAGUGGACUGCAUUGUCUAUGGGCACCUUCCUUUUCUUCUUUAUGAGCAGCGUUACAGGGCCAGGGGUGUGUGUGGCUAUCGACCACACACAGCACUUACUAAGCUUUAAGAGUGUGAUAAAGCAUGGCUGAGAGAUGAGAAUUGGCUUGUG
rnacentral:rRNA from 1 species